rnacentral:rRNA from 1 species
AGAGUUUGAUCCUGGCUCAGGAUGAACGCUAGCUACAGGCUUAACACAUGCAAGUCGAGGGGAAACGAUAUUGGAAGCUUGCUUCCGAUAGGCGUCGACCGGCGCACGGGUGAGUAACGCGUAUCCAACCUGCCCACCACUUGGGGAUAACCUUGCGAAAGUAAGACUAAUACCCAAUGACGUCUCUAGAGGACAUCUGAAAGAGAUUAAAGAUUUAUCGGUGAUGGAUGGGGAUGCGUCUGAUUAGCUUGUUGGCGGGGUAACGGCCCACCAAGGCUACGAUCAGUAGGGGUUCUGAGAGGAAGGUCCCCCACAUUGGAACUGAGACACGGUCCAAACUCCUACGGGAGGCAGCAGUGAGGAAUAUUGGUCAAUGGACGAGAGUCUGAACCAGCCAAGUAGCGUGCAGGAUGACGGCCCUAUGGGUUGUAAACUGCUUUUAUAAGGGAAUAAAGUGAGUCUCGUGAGGCUUUUUGCAUGUACCUUAUGAAUAAGGACCGGCUAAUUCCGUGCCAGCAGCCGCGGUAAUACGGAAGGUCCGGGCGUUAUCCGGAUUUAUUGGGUUUAAAGGGAGCGUAGGCCGGAGAUUAAGCGUGUUGUGAAAUGUAGAUGCUCAACAUCUGCACUGCAGCGCGAACUGGUUUCCUUGAGUACGCACAAAGUGGGCGGAAUUCGUGGUGUAGCGGUGAAAUGCUUAGAUAUCACGAAGAACUCCGAUUGCGAAGGCAGCUCACUGGAGCGCAACUGACGCUGAAGCUCGAAAGUGCGGGUAUCGAACAGGAUUAGAUACCCUGGUAGUCCGCACGGUAAACGAUGGAUGCCCGCUGUUGGUCUGAAUAGGUCAGCGGCCAAGCGAAAGC